GACGAACGCUGGCGGCGUGCUUAACACAUGCAAGUCGAACGGAAAGGCCCUGCUUUUGUGGGGUGCUCGAGUGGCGAACGGGUGAGUAACACGUGAGUAACCUGCCCUUGACUUUGGGAUAACUUCAGGAAACUGGGGCUAAUACCGGAUAGGAGCUCAUGCUGCAUGGUGGGGGUUGGAAAGUUUCGGCGGUUGGGGAUGGACUCGCGGCUUAUCAGCUUGUUGGUGGGGUAGUGGCUUACCAAGGCUUUGACGGGUAGCCGGCCUGAGAGGGUGACCGGACACAUUGGGACUGAGAUACGGCCCAGACUCCUACGGGAGGCAGCAGUGGGGAAUAUUGCACAAUGGGCGGAAGCCUGAUGCAGCAACGCCGCGUGCGGGAUGACGGCCUUCGGGUUGUAAACCGCUUUCGCCUGUGACGAAGCGUGAGUGACGGUAAUGGGUAAAGAAGCACCGGCUAACUACGUG
rnacentral:rRNA from 1 species